AGAAAAGGGCAUCAGAUCUCAUUACAGAUGGGUGUGAGCCACCAUGUGGUCUCUAGGAUUUGAACUCAGGACCUCUGGAAGAACAUUCAGUGCUCUUAACCACUAGGCCAUCUCGCCAGCCCACUAGCUUUUGUUUUACAGAAGAGAAAACCAAAGAGGAAAAAGGUAAGAGGCUUGCCUAAAGAAAGAGGAAGAAGCGAAGAAGUGGGAGGCCUCUGGGCCCUGAGCCUACACCCAAAGCCCUGGUAUUAUGCAGUUACUGUUGGAAGAAAAGCAGCCAGUGGUAAUCCGGCCGGCUGCCUGAAGAAGUUAGUUCUUGUGGCAUGUCCAGAAGCAACCUAUUUCUCUGCCUUUGCGGUUCUGAACCUGAGCAAGUCCAUUAGAAGCACCCAGGUAGUCUAUUCAAAAUGUUCCAGAAGGGUUGGUGAGGUUGGCUCCGAGGGUAAAAGCACUUGCUUCCAACCUGAGGAGCUGAGUUCAACUUCUGAGACCUGCAUGGGGAGGGAGAGAACAGACUUCCACACAUUGUCUUCGGACCUACAGUCAUACAGAUGCUCAAUACAAAGGAAACAGAGAACGAGUCACCAGCUGAGCUGCAGCAGAGAGAGUGUAGCUGACCGAGAAGAGGAGGCAGCUCCGCCAUCUCCUUUGUGUGCUCCUGAAUGCUGGACUCCUGUCUUACUCCAGCUCGUAAGCCUCUCCGCCUCCGAGCAGAGUUCCUGGCCAAUAGCAGCCUGCGAAGCUGCAUGAUUGGCGUUCUUCUGCAGAAGAAGCUGGGGAAGCAACACAGAUAAGACACCUUGAGUUGAACAUUCCCAAUCCAAAAAUCAGAAAUCUGAAAUGCUCUGAAAGCUGAAACCUUGUGAAUGCUGUUACAAUGUACAAGGAGAAAAAUUUUGCCUCUGACCUCAAAGACAUGUCACAGUGAAAACACAGGCUCACUACAAAUACCUACAAGCUGAGUUUGUAAGAAGCCUAUCAAACUUAAAUGAAUUUUAUACUUAGCUUUGGGUCUCAUCCAUAAGAUGUCUCAUUAUGUAUGCAAAAAUAUUCCCAAAUUCAAAAUACUUCUAGUCCAAAGCAUCUCAGAGAAGGGAUAUCCACACUGGGUUAAGUCUCUCUCACACACAAGAAGUGAGGCCAAAGGUUUCUAGCUGUCCUUGCGUAUUCUGUGACCAUUCUGUUUGAUGUGGUUAUUCUGGCUAAUGAUGAAAAUUCAGGCUCCCGCCUUGCUCUCUGUAGCAAAGCACAGACAUUUUUGUUGAAACUUCAGGCUGGUUGAGCCUGAUAUUCUUAUUCCCUCCUCCUCCCAAAAACUGGAGUUGGUUGAAAACUGUCAAUAAUUUCCUAAAAACUGGGUUUUUUCUUUCUUUUCUAUUUUUUUUCAAAACACCACUUGCUCAGUAGACAGCUCAUGAGGCCCACCAGACUAUGGACUUGGGGGUAUGGUACAUUUUGACCUCAAAGUCCUCAGCAUCUCUUACAAAAACUGAGUAAAGUCUCCAACU